rnacentral:rRNA from 1 species
CAGCAGCCACGGUAAUGCGUAGGUGGCAAGCGUUGUCCGGAAUUAUUGGGCGUAAAGGGCUCGCAGGCGGUUUCUUAAGUCUGAUGUGAAAGCCCCCGGCUCAACCGGGGAGGGUCAUUGGAAACUGGGAAACUUGAGUGCAGAAGAGGAGAGUGGAAUUCCACGUGUAGCGGUGAAAUGCGUAGAGAUGUGGAGGAACACCAGUGGCGAAGGCGUCUCUCUGGUCUGUAACUGACGCUGAGGAGCGAAAGCGUGGGGAGCGAACAGGAUUAGAUACCCCUGUAGUCCCUGUCUCUUAUAC